rnacentral:rRNA from 1 species
GGCGAACGCUGGCGGCGUGCUUAACACAUGCAAGUCGAACGGAAAGGCCCUGCUUGCAGGGUACUCGAGUGGCGAACGGGUGAGUAACACGUGGGUGAUCUGCCCUGCACUUCGGGAUAAGCCUGGGAAACUGGGUCUAAUACCGGAUAGGAGCCAUUUUUAGUGUGAUGGUUGGAAAGUUUUUUCGGUGUAGGAUGAGCUCGCGGCCUAUCAGCCUGUUGGUGGGGUAAUGGCCUACCAAGGCGGCGACGGGUAGCCGGCCUGAGAGGGUGGACGGCCACAUUGGGACUGAGAUACGGCCCAGACUCCUACGGGAGGCAGCAGUGGGGAAUAUUGCACAAUGGGCGCAAGCCUGAUGCAGCGACGCCGCGUGGGGGAUGACGGCCUUCGGGUUGUAAACUCGUUUCGCUAGGGACGAAGCUUUUUGUGACGGUACCUAGAUAAGAAGCACCGGCUAACUACGUG